rnacentral:rRNA from 1 species
CAGUAGCCGCGGGAAUACAGAGGGUGCGAGCGUUAAUCGGAUUUACUGGGCGUAAAGCGUGCGUAGGCGGCUUCUUAAGUCGGAUGUGAAAUCCCUGAGCUUAACUUAGGAAUUGCAUUCGAUACUGGGAAGCUAGAGUAUGGGAGAGGAUGGUAGAAUUCCAGGUGUAGCGGUGAAAUGCGUAGAGAUCUGGAGGAAUACUGAUGGCGAAGGCAGCCAUCUGGCCUAAUACUGACGCUGAGGUACGAAAGCAUGGGGAGCAAACAGGAUUAGAUACCCAGUAGUCCCUGUCUCUUAUACA